rnacentral:rRNA from 1 species
GAAUGAUAGAAUGUGGCGCAUGCCACGCUUUUGAAAGAUGGUUUCGGCUAUCGCUUACAGAUGGGCCCGCGGUGCAUUAGCUAGUUGGUAGGGUAAUGGCCUACCAAGGCAACGAUGCAUAGCCGACCUGAGAGGGUGAUCGGCCACACUGGGACUGAGACACGGCCCAGACUCCUACGGGAGGCAGCAGUAGGGAAUCUUCCGCAAUGGACGAAAGUCUGACGGAGCAACGCCGCGUGUAUGAAGAAGGUUUUCGGAUCGUAAAGUACUGUUGUUAGAGAAGAACAAGGAUAAGAGUAACUGCUUGUCCCUUGACGGUAUCUAACCAGAAAGCCACGGCUAACUACGUGCCAGCAGCCGCGGUAAUACGUAGGUGGCAAGCGUUGUCCGGAUUUAUUGGGCGUAAAGCGCGCGCAGGCGGUCUUUUAAGUCUGAUGUGAAAGCCCCCGGCUUAACCGGGGAGGGUCAUUGGAAACUGGAAGACUGGAGUGCAGAAGAGGAGAGUGGAAUUCCACGUGUAGCGGUGAAAUGCGUAGAUAUGUGGAGGAACACCAGUGGCGAAGGCGACUCUCUGGUCUGUAACUGACGCUGAGGCGCGAAAGCGUGGGGAGCAAACAGGAUU